rnacentral:rRNA from 1 species
GUGGCGGACGGGUGCGUAACGCGUAGGAAUCUGCCCUAAAGAGGGGGGUAACCUAGGGAAACUUAGGCUAAUACCGCAUAAUCUCUACGGAGCAAAGGUCAUGGUUUACCAUGGUCACUUUAGGAUGAGCCUGCGUUGGAUUAGUUUGUUGUUAGGGUAAAGGCCUAACAAGACGAAGAUCCAUAGCUGUUCUGAGAGGAAGAUCAGCCACACUGGGACUGAGACACGGCCCAGACUCCUACGGGAGGCAGCAGUGGGAAUAUUGGACAAUGGGCGCAAGCCUGAUCCAGCAAUGCCGCGUGUGUGAAGAAGGCCUGAGGGUUGUAAAGCACUUUUAAGAUGGAAGAAGUUGCCGUAAGGUAAUUGACGUUACAUCUAGAAAAAGCACCGGCUAACUCUGUGCCAGCAGCCGCGGUAAUACAGAGGGUGCAAGCGUUAAUCGGAAUAAUUGGGCGUAAAGGGUGCGUAGGUGGUUAUUUAUGUCUUGUGUGAAAGUCAAUGGCUCAACCAUUGAAAGCCAUAAGAAACUGGAUAACUAGAGUACUGUAGAGGGUAGUGGAAUUCCUGGUGUAGCGGUGAAAUGCGUAGAUAUCAGGAGGAACAUCAGUGGCGAAGGCGACUACCUGGACAGAUACUGACACUGAGGCACGAAAGCGUGGGUAGCGAACAGGAUUAGAUACCCUGGUAGUCCACGCCGUAA